rnacentral:rRNA from 1 species
UACGUAGGGUGCAGGCGUUAAUCGGAAUUACUGGGCGUAAAGCGUGCGCAGGCGGUCUCUUAAGACAGGUGUGAAAUCCCCGGGCUUAACCUGGGAACUGCGCUUGUAACUGAGAGGCUAGAGUGUGGCAGAGGGGGGUGGAAUUCCACGUGUAGCAGUGAAAUGCGUAGAGAUGUGGAGGAACACCGAUGGCGAAGGCAGCCCCUGGGCUAACACUGACGCUCAUGCACGAAAGCGUGGGGAGCAAACAGG